AUGUCGACCAUGCAAUGAGCACGAACGACUAUAUUGACAGCCGCUGCAGCGUUACUGCGAAUUACACGGAUGGAAGUCCAUUUGAAGUAAUUAUGCCAGCCUCUUCUCUACCUUCACUGACAGAUCUGCUGGUUUUUCCCAAGCCACAGUGGAUAAAGGUUCGGACACAGUCUAUGGCCUGGUGCAGUGCAGGGGUGACAUUGGCCAGGAUAGCUGCAAGGAGUGCAUCCGUAAUUCUGCCCAACAAAUCGUCGGAUACUGUCCUUAUAAUAUGGAUGCCAUUAUAUGGUAUGAACACUGCCAGCUCCGCUACUCCAACACCAACUUCUUUGGUCACCUCAAUGUCGAGGAUUAUGGUUCUUGGUAUUGGAUCGAUGAUAAAAUGGAACAGCCCAAAGCCUUUAGUGAAGAGUUGGGUAGUCUGCUGAAGAAUCUCACUGAUCAAGCGACAACACAGCCUAAUUCAAUGUUUUCAAUGUUUCCAAUGUCCAUGUUUGCUACUGGCAACAUCACCUACAAUGAUCUACAGACUAUACGGGCUGGUGCAGUGCACUGGGGAUACCAACCAUGCUGAUUGCAAGCAGUGUUUGAAUGACACCAGGUUCUGGAUCCCGCAACGCACACGGCUGUGAAAUUGCCACGGGAAGUUGCCGUGUGAGGUACGAUACGGAGCUCUUUUAUGGUUCCCCAGCAACUCCAAAGCCUAAAUUAAAUUCAAGACAAAGAGCAUCAACCCAAUCUUCUAAUUCACUACCUCCAAGCCCAAGCACAUCUCCUCUACCACCUCCAUCAGAUUCAAGCCCUCAAACAAAUGGUGCAUCCAACACUACGUCAGGCAAGUCUCUCUCUCUCUCUCUCUCACACACACACACAUAUUCAUAUGACAAGAAUAUUUUAUAUAUGCAGGCAGAAAACACAUGUAUAUCAUAAUCGUCAUCUCCGUCUUGAUGAUUGUGGUUCUUAUUACUUGCUUAAUUUGCGCCUUUUACUGGUGGACGAGAGAAUUUGUUGCCUUUGGAGGAAGACGUUGGAGCCUCGCGGAUUGCAGAGGAAGAAGGAAGAAGAUGAUGGUUCAGAACAACGAGGGGAGCCAACCAAGCAUAUGCAAUUAGAUUGGCCAGUACGUUUCAAGCUCAUAAAUGGCAUUGCCAGAGGAGUUAUGUUUCUUCACGAAGAUUCUCAUCUGCGAAUUGUUCACAGGGAUCUGAAAGCAAGCAACAUUUUAUUAGGUAAAUACAUGAACCCAAGAUCUCAGAUUUCACUGCAAAGAUCGUUGACACAGACCAAACACAAACCGAAACACUUGAGAUUAUGGGAACUCGGUAUGAUGACUUUGGGGGAAGAACAAGGGUCUGCAAGUUGUGGAUCAAAUAUUGGAAGGAACAUGUGACAACGAUGAGAUAUUAAGAUGCAUCCAUAUUGGCCUGCUAUGUGUUCAAGAAGAUGCAUCAAGCAGGCCCAAAAUGUCCAAGGUUGUUGCGAUGACGGCUCCUUGAUCUUUCCAUCCAAUUUGCCUCCUGCCCCCUCUACCUGGAAAAUCAGAAACCUUUCUUUGGGAGCAUAAACGAGCUCAACUAUAUCAGGUACUGGUUCGGAGCUUGGUUCACCUCCUUACUGAAGCUUUGAACUACUCACGUGAGGAGGAAGCAGAGAUUGUAUGUUCCCUACCUUUCAAUGUAUCAUUUGAAUUGUUCCUUUGGCACAUGAGCUUUGAACUUCUUGGUUAGUUUGUCACAGAUGUGUUUUUUGUUUCUAAUUGUUAUCAGGAUGUGGAGAUGCCUCCGUAUAUUUUAAUGUUGUGCAGUAUAAUGUCUAACCUUAUAUUCCUCUGAUGAAGAGAUCAAUGUAUACCUUCUCAUUCUCAUAAUGUAUAUUUAUAUUUCAGUUCAAUGAAAUGAGUA